rnacentral:rRNA from 1 species
GACGAACGCUGGCGGCGUGCUUAACACAUGCAAGUCGAGCGGAAAGGCUCCUUCGGGGGUACUCGAGCGGCGAACGGGUGAGUAACACGUGAGUAAUCUGCCCUUGGCUUCGGGAUAGCCACCGGAAACGGUGAUUAAUACCGGAUACGACCACUUCUCGCAUGGGAUGGUGGUGGAAAGUUUUUCGGCCAGGGAUGUGCUCGCGGCCUAUCAGCUUGGUGGUGAGGUAAUGGCUCACCAUGGCUUCGACGGGUAGCCGGCCUGAGAGGGUGACCGGUCACACGGGGGCUGAGACACGGCCCAGACUCCUACGGGAAGCAGGAGUGGGGAAUAUUGGACAAUGGGCGGAAGCCUGAUCCAGCAAAGCCGCGUGAGGGAUGACGGCCUGCGGGUUGUAAACCUCUUUCAGCAGGGACGAAGCGCAAGUGACGGUACCUGCAGAAGAAGCACCGGCCAACUACGUGCCAGCCGCCGCCGUAAUAC